rnacentral:lncRNA from 1 species
GAUGUUCUGACAUUUAUUGCUUACAGAAUAUGUGUUUUCCACCUGGCCUUAUUAAACACGCACACGCGCACGCACACACACACACGCACGCACACGCGCACACGCACACACACACACACCCCUUGCUUGGAUAUCAAAGUGGCCACACUAGUAUGGUUAGAACAACCAGAGAAGUUAGAUUUGUCUGAAACUUCAGGGCUUCAAGAGCUAAUCUCAAGUGACAGAGUGAUUGAAACAUUUUGACCAAGAGAAGAACCUAAGCUGUUUCCUUCCUCUGGCAAGGUUGUUUAUGCUUAGUCAUUGGAAAGUUUCAGAUGAACUUUGGUCAACAUGGCUUAGUAAUUACGGAGACAUGACUACCUACAGCCUGGAUAGAAAAGGGAAAGCUUGACCUACUUGUAGCAUGGAUACCCAAAAGGAUCACUCAAGUCAGUCCCCUCAAUGGAUUGGAUGAUGGUCACUCACAUUGCCCAGAAUGGGCUUCCAGGAAGGAGCUGGGUCUGGCUCAGAUACAUCUCUGCAAGGACACAGACUAUCUGGAGAGGAGAGACCUCUGACCUCCCCCCCUUGCCGCCACCUCUCACAAGAGGCCCCCAAACUCAACAAGGACAAAAUCAGGGUAGGAGUGACACAUGUGUAAUCUCCUUGUGUUCCAUAUUGCCUCAUCCAUAUAAGAGUCCUUUAAUAAGGGGGUCAUUAGUCCACAGGAUUAAAGGACCGAGCGCCUUUACCUGGCCGGGGUUCCAUGUUGACUAAAGCUCACUUGAACUGAAGUGUCAGUCAUUAAUGAAUGAGACAGCCAUACAUGAAGAUGACCCUGAUUAGAUCUUUUGCUUUCUGGACAGAAGCAAGGAUGCUGGGACAUGGGCUGACAUGGGGCAGCUGAAGGGACAGAGGGGCAGCCAGAAAUUAUGAGACUCAGAAAUGAGAGGCUGGGGAAACCCUAAAUUUCACUGAUUUCUUAUUUAUACCAUAAACCAUGCAGGACAAACAUGCUCUAUUCACCGAGGUAUUUUUGUCCUGUGCAGCUGUGUGGCUUAGCAGGAGCUUUGCUGUCGAGCCAUAUGACUCAUGCCAACACUGCUGCAUAUGAUUUAUGAAGACUUAAAGAAAAAGAAAACAGCCAGCUUCAUUACGAAGGAGCUUUGUUUUCAGAGGAUUCGUUCAUCAAGGAUCACGGUACCAUUUGGUCCUCUCUUGCUUACUCUCUGAGUGAAAUAGUGAGCCUGCCUCGGCCAGCACUUCACCAGAGGACACUCUCCUGCCUCCCUCCUCCUCGUUUGCCCUAUUCCCAGCAUAAAGAGGGGAACCUCUAGUUUAAGAAGAGAACAGAUAGC